rnacentral:rRNA from 1 species
GACGAACGCUGGCGGCGUGCCUAAUACAUGCCAGUCGAACGAACCGCGACUAGGUGCUUGCACUUGGUCAAGGUGAGUGGCGAACGGGUGAGUGACACGUGGGUAACCUACCUCAUAGUGGGGGAUAACAGUCGGAAACGACUGCUAAUACCGCAUAGGACAUAGGAUCACAUGAUCCAGUGAGGAAAGGUGGCGCAAGCUAUCGCUAAGAGAUGGACCCGCGGUGCAUUAGCUAGUUGGUAGGGUAAAGGCCUACCAAGGCGAUGAUGCAUAGCCGACCUGAGAGGGUGAUCGGCCACAUUGGGACUGAGACACGGCCCAAACUCCUACGGGAGGCAGCAGUAGGGAAUCUUCCGCAAUGGACGCAAGUCUGACGGAGCAACGCCGCGUGAGUGAAGAAGGUCUUCGGAUCGUAAAGCUCUGUUGUUAGAGAAGAACAGCGCAUAGAGUAACUGUUAUGCGUGUGACGGUAUCUAACCAGAAAGCCACGGCUAACUACGUG